CAACUCUGUCGCCGACGGGCACGAACAGCGAGCCGCGCCGGCCGGUUCGUCUCCUCUUGCCUCGGCUCGGUUCGGCGGCGGCCGGACCGUCGCGCGGCCGUGAAUCCAGCCGGUCCUUGUGCGGCGCAAUUGGGAGCAAGCAUCCUAGGAUGACGCGCCCGGCAUAUAUGUAUGUAUAGAUAGAUAGAGGAGCUGCAUGGACCGCAGGUGCCAUUUCAGUAGACACGGCUAUCCGGCCCCCAAUUUACUAGUGAUUUUACACCAACGGUGAGUGUGAGUCGGUGACCAUGUGCUGCAGUAUUCAGUGCAAAAUGCAUAGUUCAGCAUGCUUUCAAGGUUUAUCGGAGGUUCUUGACGCGUGAGUCCUUGGUUCUGGUUUUCAUUCCUUGAAUCACUGCCUACUUAUACUGCUGUUGGCUGUUGGUCAUACAAAGUUGCAAUUUUCAGAGUAUCGAAUAUUGGUGGUUUUCGUUUUGGUUCUAUGAUCAUUUGGUUCUAUGAUCAUUUCUGCUUCUCGUUUUGUUUACUUUGAUGAAUUGUCUGUUGCUCUGUUCAAUGCUAGUCAAGGAGUGGAGAGGAUUGCAGUAAGGGACAUAUUGAAUGGUGAAUUGGUGAUACAUAAUCCUGCAGUGCUCAUGGUGACGUGGCUAGCAGAGAGAUGAGAAAAAAAAUGUGGAAGCCGUCUAUUUAAGAACAAUUCUCUUUCGACGUCAAUGCAAGAAUUCCGACCUCUGUUUUGGACGUGGUAUACCUCAGAUUUUAGUUUCCUGUAGCAUGGCAUCAUUUGACCAUGGAACCUCACAAUUACAUCAAGAAACUAACAGAGGGCCAUGUUGAAGACUUGAGCCAACUUAGUAUGAUGAAUGAUGAUUGUUGGUGUCGAAAUUUAGAAAUUUCUGGAAGAACAGCGGAACCUUUGAUUUUGAACAAGAUCAGUGCAAAGUUUUGGAACCACCACGAUUAGACAUUCUAAUAUUCUAUAUAUAUUUCUCCAAACAUGCAUGUCCCAUUUAAUCUCGUACCUAAUCUGUGCCGUCAUCAAUCCAAUGGCAUAGACAUGCAGUGGAAAGCAAAGCUACUCUUUCUUGGGAAUAGUUAACAACCUCCUAAUUUCAGGUGAAGAUUGGAGCUGACGGUGAACAAGCAACGAAUAUACUGCAUAAUUGCACUCCCUAUCAGUGCAAAAUGCACACAGCCAACCUCAAAAACAAAAAUCAAGUGCAUAUGAUAAAAGCUGAUUAGGUCACAAAUAAAGUAGAGAAAGAUGUUUAUAGCUGUAUUAUAUGAAUACUUUUGGUUCAAUUGCUGCUUAGAGCCGAAAGAGAUCAAAGGACUCCAUUCCACUACCCACAGAACCCGGGCACUGCUCUCGAGAUGUUCUCUAAAGAACAAUUAUCUUGGCUAAUUAAAUAAUGACUAAAUAUGCAUAGCUCGGUGUGAAUUGACCACUCGCUAAUUUUAUAUUUGAGUUUCUAAUCAUUCCAUAGUGUGCACCAAGGAACCAAUUGAAUUGUAUGGUCUACAGCUCUAUAUCUGUGUUUCUUGACUUAGCAGGUUUACAAUGGAAAGCUUUGAAAGGACAGGGGCAACUGUUUUUUGCAAGCUGGUUAUAUAUGCUGAUUCACAGUACAUGUCAGUGCACUGUUGCUAUCUGUUAUAUGGUUUGUGCUUCUGAAUGAUACUAUUGUAAUGUUGUUGAUAAAUUCUUGUAUGCAUAUCUUGAUGAAGCAAUGUUGAUUGGUGUUCCCUCUAUUCAUAUUAAAGAUUUGGGGUUUUUUCUGUAUAGAUUAAUUCUACAAAAUUUGGGCUUAAUCCACCAUUAAUGAGAUUUGUAUUUUUUGUUCCUCUGCAUACAAGUUGAGUUUCAAGUUCCAAAUUUCUGGGGUGAUAGAGGACAUGACAUCCUAUGUAAGAAGAUUACUUUUAAAAAAUUCAUCAUGAUUUUUCAUGCAAUUUGUAUCUCUGUUAUUAAUUUAGUAAAUAAAUACACUUAUAUGAAAGUAAUUAUGAAAAUGCAUAAUAUUUUUAAUAUAUAUUAUGAUGUCUUUUGUCACCCCACAUAAUCUGAGUUUAAAACAAAGCGGAGAAAGCAAAAAGGCGAAUCUUUUUUCAAGAACAAAAAAGACAAAUAUUGUUUCGUAGAUUGGAGCAAUAGAAAUAGUUAGGGAGUGAAUCAGGAUGACUUUUUUCAGGGGGUUAAGCGGACAAAGUGGACUGUUUGCAGUAGUAAAAUGGAUUUCUUCCUUUGUUAAUUAGACAUCUGAAGCUCAGCUGCUCUGAAGACUGAAGUUUAUUUUAUUUUCUGGAACUUCUUCUCGUAAAAUGAGGAGGAUUUACCUGAUUAAUUGAUUAUAGCUCCUUGAGUUUGCAGUUGAGAACGCUUCUAUUGUUUUCUCAAACAUGUCAAGGCUGCAAAUCUGAAGAAAAAGUAUGUAGUAACCUUCUACCUUUAUAUUGAACGGCAGAAAGAAAAAAAAUUGGAGAUUAUAUGCCCGACUCACUCCGUGGCUCCUUUUGUUCAUUGCUCUUCACCGGUUAAGGUUCAUCCAUCAAUCAGUGAGUGUUGUUCCUGAGCCUAGUCAGUCAGAGUUUGUAAUAACUCAUUGAUCUCAUGGACUACAAGAUUGUUCUACUUCGACUUUAAUCUCUGUAUAUGUAUGCUAUCAGAGCUCAGGGCACUUAUCUCUGUACAUCUAUUCUUUUUUACUGUAAACACCGAGCAGGAGUUUGUACCAUAACCUUUUCAGGUAAAACAACCAGCACUGCAACAGAAGUUCUACUUCCAAUGUAAAUCCCCUGCAAGUUCCAUUAUCUUCUACAUGAUCGGGAUCAGUAACGCUGCAGUGCUUACUCAGAACAGCUCAUUUACCAAUGGGAAUUUGGAAUGCAGGAAGGUAGAUCUAGAUGCGUGUGCCUGCAAAAUUUCCUGCCCUUUUGCCAGUAUAUAUAUUUGAUCUGCUGGAUGGCGGCUUCCUCUACAUUAACACCAAGUACAAGGGGGCAGUAAUUAACAAAGUACUUGACAGUGGAAAGGCAAGAUUAGAUCUAACCCAGGGCAUGUGACAGCAACUCCAUUGAGGGGUUUGGAUCCAAUCCUGGCUGUUUAAUCUGCCAAGGAACAGGCUCUGGCAUUGGGGUUUAUAUAAUUGUUACUGCAUGGAAUGAACUGGUUCUUAUUCACUUGUGCCAUGUGUUACCACUGGGUCACCAGCUGUGAUGUCCCCUUUUAUUCUUCUUUUUAACUUUCAACUUUGGAGAUUCUUUCUUACUAUAACAACUGUUCAAUUGUCACCCUGUAAUGAUUGUAAUUACAGUGCAGAGCAUACUGGUUGUUUACCCAUGACUUUAAGCAAUAGCCAUAUUUGAUAUGGUAGUAAACAUGCAUUCAG